AAAUUGAAAGCGGAGAGAGCAUGAAGGGGUAGCAUACUCCUCCAAAUGCUGGGAUUCUGGUUCGCAUGGCUAAGGGUGCGUUUGGGGGGGGCUUUUUUGCUCCCCUGCUUAUAAGCACCACACAUGUGUGCGUUUGGUAAAUCUACUUUGGCCCAGCUUUUGGCAGAAGCCACGGCUUCUUUGGGUCGAAAAGCUGAAGCCAGCAACCCCAUGCUUUUAGAAGCAGGCACUGGCUUUUCCACUGUAGCGGGAGUUACUAUAGUUUAAUGAACAUUUCGAAAUACCGGGUUGUGUCCUCUCUUCCCUUCAGCAAUUACACCACACUGCCAUCAAACCUUCUCUUCCAUGUUGAAAACUGAAACCUCCAGCGCCGCGCAGUGAACACUGCUCUUGCAUCUCGCUGAUUGCCUCCUCUCAUUCGUGUUCGAAGCCUCAAUCCAAUCCCCAGAUCUUCGUACCAGGCUCUGAAAAUCGAAAGCUCUGCAGGCAUUAAUAACCCCUCCCGGUUCCAUUUCAGUUCCUAUUUCAUCUUUCAUUUCUCAAUCUAUGAUUCCCUAUCUGGGUUCUUCUUUGAUCUGCUCCUUCUUGAUCUGCUCUUUCUCUCCAUCAUUCUGGUUUGAAAAUAUUAUGUGGUAGAUUCGGGAUACCCUCAAAUGAGUGGGUUUUUGGGACCUUACAAAGGUCCAAGACAGCAUUUUCAAGAAUAUCGUAGGCAAGAACCAAGAAAUGAAAAAGAGAUAUUUAACCAAGCACACUCUUCUCUUAGAAGCGUUAUGGAACGCACAUUUGGAGUUUGGAAAAAAAAGUGGAAGAUUUUAAAGGACAUGCAAAGUUUUUUAUUUGAGAAAUAAGUGAAGAUUGUCAUUGCCACAAGGACACUUCAUAAUUAUAUACGGAGACAUGCACAUCGUGAUAGGCAUUUUGUUCACGGUGAAGAAAGAGAAGGUGAUGGGUCAAGUCAUGGGAUAGAGAUGGAUGAUGAUGUAGAAGAAGAAUAUCAUGGUCAUGGUGCACAAGAAAUGACAAUAAUAAGAAAUAGCAGUAUUGAUGAGUGCGUGUAAUAACUUGAACAUUUGAAUGUGUUAUGAAAUUUUUUGUGGUUACUUGAUGCGAACCAGAAACUAAUUGUUAUUAAUGUUACUAAUAUAUUUGUAUAA